rnacentral:rRNA from 1 species
UACGUAGGUGGCAAGCGUUGUCCGGAAUUAUUGGGCGUAAAGCGCGCGCAGGCGGCCUUUUAAGUCUGAUGUGAAAGCCCACGGCUUAACCGUGGAAGGUCAUUGGAAACUGAGAGGCUUGAGUACAGAAGAGGAAAGCGGAAUUCCACGUGUAGCGGUGAAAUGCGUAGAGAUGUGGAGGAACACCAGUGGCGAAGGCGGCUUUCUGGUCUGUAACUGACGCUGAGGCGCGAAAGCGUGGGGAGCAAACAGG